AAUCCAGAAAUGACAAUCUAUAGUCGAGGGUGGAUUUUCACCAUAGCAAAUUAACAUGAUCCUAAAUUGGAAAGAUGAAGGAUAAGCGUAUCAAAUUUAUCAGGAGUUGUCGGAUCAAAAUUGGCGAGAUUAUUGCCUGGUCCACUAUUAGAAAGUACCCAUGCUUCAUAGGUUGUACUUAGGUGGGCGAUUGAACUUGAACUUGUUUGCACUUCUGCGUAGUGGUUUUCUUUAUGGAUUUUCAUUUUAUUUUGAUGUUAGUUUUAUCGUUUGGUGAAUAUAAGUUGCAAAACCUAUGUUAACCUUGAUUAAUUUGUGCAAUGUUGUCGUAUUUGCUCAUAUAACUCUGGUAGUUUUGCAUUACAAGUUAUAUCUAAUAAAAUCUCAAAAUAACAUAUUCCAGUUAGUUCUUACUUUAUGAUUGUCAAGAUGGUUAGUUUAUAACUGUCUGUAGUCUCUUUAGUUUUCGUGAUCUCGGAUUCCCAUGAUAGGCUGUUGAAAGGUGGCUUGUAGAGCAGUUUUGCCAAUUGAGAAUUCUUUGGGAGGGAGCAUCCACAAAAAUUGUGACCUUUUACUCAGGCACAAGUUACAUAUAGUAGGAGAAGUAAAAUAUGCAGUCCAUCAUUGUUUGAUGGCUAAGCAUGGUGUUAAACUUGAGAAAUUGAAGCGUGUUCUUAGUCAUCCACAGGCUCUUGCACAAUGUGAGAACACCCUGGCAGGGUUGGGCUUGGUCAGAGAAGCAGUAGAUGAUACAGCGGGUGCUGCAAAAAAUGUUGCCCUCCAUGAACUACAAGAUGCAGGAGUUGUUGCUAGGUACUUGCUCGAGACAUUCAGGUUUGGGUCUAUGUGCCAGUGUGUUUUAAAUUAUAUGGUAGACAAUUUGUGUUUAUCAUGGAUUUGGUGACCAAUGGAUUUGCAUUGGCAAGAUGAUAGUGAUAAUGUCACCCAAUUUUUAGUGUUGGCGCGAGAACCAAUACUUCCAGGCACAGACAGGCCAUUUAAGACAAGUAUAGUUUUUUCUUUAGAAGAGGGUCCUAAUAUACUUUUCAAGGCCCUUGCUGUUUUUGCCAUGCGUCAAAUUAAUCUUUCAAAGGUUAGUUGUCUUCUUGGGGCAAGGUGCAAUAAUAAGAUUUGCGCAAUAUAAAAUAUUUAUUAAUAAUAAUGAUAAGUAUACACUCCAUAUAUGGAGACACAUAUUUGACACGCCACCAAUGGUAGUGGCGUAUCAAAUACUCAAAAGCUAGGAAAACAAAUAGCAUUAGGAAUAUGAAGAGUGAGUCUGAGUCCUAAAUAGAGCGUAUUCAAAGACUCAAAAGCUAGGAAACUAAGGGGUAGUACACAGUUAGUAGUAGUAGUUACAUCACCUAGGUUGAAAUGAAGAUGUUGAACUUUGUUCUUUGCAACAGAAGAUAUUAAAGAACUAACUUGGUUUGCAUUAACAGAAAUUCCAAAUAUUUUAACGCAAAGCCUUUCAAUGCAAUUAGAUUUGUCCAGUAAUCUUCCCACAAGAUCUAAGAGGCAAUUUGCUGAAUUCUGAUUUUUGCCGUACUUAGCUCGAGGAAUUAGAAAAUCAAAGACAAAUAAAUGAGUCCACAAGUACCUCCACUUUGCUGAUAAUAUGAAACUUCUUACAGCAUCUUUGGUAGGAAGAAAAGAAAGAAUAUAAAUAAGAAUUUGCUAUUGAGUCCUUGGGCAAACUUAUGAGCACCAGUACCAGUUUGUGCUAAGAAUAGCUCUGGUAGUGCCUCAUCCUUCUUAAUAAUUUUGGCCAAUGUCCACAUCCACUCUUCAAGAGCAGUUAGAGCUGCCCCAACUGACAAUGUUCGAACGUUAAGAGAGUACUCUUCUUUCUAUCUGGCUUUGUUGUGAUAUAGGAGUAGUAACAGACUAAAUGAUCAAGAUGUUUGAAAAUCAUUUUGUUGAACAUGCAUGAUUUUUUUAGUGUAAGAGUUAUUUUAUAAAGGUAAUUUAAGUCUUUCAUAUUUAAUAAAAAUUUAUCAAUAUAUACAAGAAUAAUUCUGUAAUUUUUUUCGCAAGAUUGUGCUUAUUGUUAUGCAUCCAAACCUUGAGCAUUCUUCUUCUAACUCCAAUCUAUUACUCAAAAAACUUAUUUAAUUGCUAUGGCUACAAUGGUUACAAAGAAAACAUGCAUUACCCUCAAGCUGUAUUAAAAAGACAAUUACCAUAUGCACACUAUGUAAGCCUUGCAUUGUAAAAGCAAUUAUUAAUUUAAACUAAUAGUCAUUGGUGAUUGUUCUUGCAAAUGAUUGGUUGUUGGAAUUUAAGUGUGAGUAACUAAUUCUAUAUUGAUUAGAUAUGAGCUAAAUGAAUGAUAUAUAUUGAUUAGAUAACCUUAAUUGUGUUUAUAUUGAACCCAAGGUAACACAAGUAGUUCAAGUGAUCAAUGGUGGUGGUUUCAUAAACUAGCCAUGGUUGAAAUGGUUCAGAUGUUGUUAUUUCCCUGCUCCAUAGUCAUAAUGUGUUGCAACUGACCCUGAAUCCGUGAUAUUUGGAGAAUCAAAACCAUUCGAAGAUGAAGAAAUGAUGAAUGUCC